AUACGUAGGGUGCAAGCGUUAAUCGGAAUUACUGGGCGUAAAGCGUGCGCAGGCGGUUUUGUAAGACAAAGGUGAAAUCCCCGGGCUCAACCGGGGAACUGCCUUUGUGACUGCAAGGCUAGAGUACGGCAGAGGGGGUUGGAAGUCCGCGUGUAGCAGGGAAAUGCGUAGAUAUACGGAGGAACACCGAUGGCGAAGGCAAUCCCCUGGGCCUGUACUGACGCUCAUGCACGAAAGCGUGGGGAGCAAACAGGAUUAGAUACCCUGGUAGUCCACGCCCUAAACGAUGUCAACUGGUUGUUGGGUCUUCAUUGACUCAGUAACGAAGCUAACGCGUGAAGUUGACCGCCUGGGGAGUACGGCCGCAAGGUUGAAACUCAAAUGAAUUGACGGGG
rnacentral:rRNA from 1 species